UACGGGGGGAGCAAGCGUUGUUCGGAUUUACUGGCGUAAAGGGCGCGUAGGCGGCCAGCACAAGUCAGUUGUGAAAUCUCCGAGCUUAACUCGGAAAGGUCAACUGAUACUGUGCGGCUAGAGUGCGGAAGGGGCAACUGGAAUUCUUGGUGUAGCGGUGAAAUGCGUAGAUAUCGAGAGGAACACCUGCGGCGAAGGCGGGUUGCUGGGCCGACACUGACGCUGAGGCGCGAAAGCCAGGGGAGCGAACGGG
rnacentral:rRNA from 1 species